UACGUAGGGUGCAAGCGUUGUCCGGAAUUAUUGGGCGUAAAGAGCUCGUAGGCGGUCUGUCGCGUCGGCUGUGAAAACUCGGGGCUCAACCCCGAGCCUGCAGUCGAUACGGGCAGACUAGAGAGUCUGUAGGGGGAGACUGGAAUUCCUGGUGUAGCGGUGAAAUGCGCAGAUAUCAGGAGGAACACCGGUGGCGAAGGCGGGUCUCUGGGCAGUUCCUGACGCUGAGGCACGAAGGUCAGGGGAGCAAACGGG
rnacentral:rRNA from 1 species